UGCAGUCAAGUCAAAUUCAGCUCCCAUUCCCAUCAUAGUGGGAACUGGCCAAAUAGCCACAGCAAUCCCUGCAGCUUGUGGGCUCUGAAUCCCCUGCUCUGGGACCUGGGGAUAAAAGUUUGGCUGCAGACAGGA
ensembl:snoRNA